AUGCGCUAUCUGAAAGGUACUAUGAACUAUGGACUUCACUAUACCGGAUACCCGUCGGUACUUGAAGGGUAUAGUGAUGCGAAUUGGAUCUCUGAUGCUGAUGAGAUGAAGGCCACAACUGGGUAUAUGUUUACUCUUGGAGGUGGCGCUGUUUCCUGGAAGUCUUGCAAGCAAACGAUCUUAACGAGAUCGACAAUGGAAGCAGAAUUAAUGGCAUUAGACACAUCUGGUGUUGAAGCGAGAUGGCUUCGAGAUCUUUUGAUGGACUUGCCAUUGGUUGAUAAACCGGUUCCGGCUAUCCUUAUGAACUGUGACAAUCAGACUGUCAUCACCAAGGUGAAGAGUUCAAAGGACAACAUGAAGUCCACCAAACACAUAAGAAUGAGAUUAAAAGCUGUCAGAAAAUUAAGAAACUCCGGAGUGAUAGCGUUGGACUAUGUCCAUACGGCUAAGAAUCUAGCAGAUCCCUUUACAAAAGGGCUAUCACGUGUUGUGAUAGAUAAUGCAUCGAGGGAGAUGGGUAUGAGACCCACAUGA
rnacentral:rRNA from 1 species